UCCCUGGAGGACUAGUGGUUAGACCACAUCGCUCUCACCGCUGGGACCUGCGUUCAAUUCCCGGUCAGGGAA